CUGAUCUCUCGCUUCCGGGUCGUUGUAUGUGCCGCUAGCAUCCGAGCACAGAUCCGGCGUCUUCACCGCGGUCGAGCCGAUCAGUCGGGGCGGUGUUUAUUGCCGCAACCAGAGCAUUGUGCUGAAGGCCGACGGUGGUGGUGGUGGUUCUCCUGGGUGGUGGUGGUCCUGUGUGCUGUGUGAUCCCUUUUUAAGAUUUUCUUUGUUUACACGUCACCUUUUGCUGUGUGUGUGGGGUGUCCUCCUUUUCCUUUUGGAUGUCACUUCCCCUACCAAACCCCUCCUCCAGCUGGUAAGCCUCAGACUACAUCUCCGUUUUAGUUGGGCUCUUUUCUUUUUUUGUGUUAGUGUCAAUCUCAUGAUUGUUUUAAUAAUAAAUUGUUAGACAUGAUCAUUGAACUCCGUCUCAUUCCCUCCCUGAGUAAACGAACCUGAGCGUCUUUUUGUCUGAAGGUACUAGUCGACCUUUACUACUGGUCCUUGGGCCAUAACCCAAGGUGGCGUUGUCGGUAUUUGGAGUAUAACAUAGUAAUAUCCCUCGUGUCACCACACAUGCAUCCUUGCAACAUUGUUAGCCAGCCGGGAGAAUUGACGCUUCGCCGUUGUUCUGAUGGCUUUAAGCUGCUCCAGUGAUUUUAAGUCGGACAUCUUCUGUUCCGGCAGCAUGGAGUAAGGUGAGUUUCAGUAUCUCACCAGGCUUCUGGGUUUCCAGGCCUGACCGGUCGCUGUCCUGGCUUCUCUGUUCCAGUCCCAGCCUGUUUUUCACUGUCAAGUCUCUCACUAUGGCAAGGCUUUAGUGUGCAAAACUCCCCACUUGAAAAGGCUGCUAUUUUUUCAGGAAGACUUUACAGGAAUCCACUCGUUACACUUGCUCUCUUUUUCUUCUUUCUUUUAUUUAGAAGAUUGAUGCAGUGUUUACAGCCAGCUGACCGGCCAGGCCUGGAAACCCAGAAGCCUGGUGAGAUACUGAAACGCACCUUACUCCAUGCUGCUGGAACAGAAGAUGCACACAGAAUCACUACAGAGCAGCAGUGGAAGAAAGCAGCAUGAGAGGAGGAAUGAGAUCGUGUGGAUUGGACUGAAACACCAAGACUGUGCAAAACAAAGCUUUCAAGGAAGACACAGCCAGUGAGCUUGAGCUUGUUGCAUCGUCGAAGUCCAUUGUUUGCAAGUCAUUUUAAUGAUCUGAUUGUAAACUAUACAUGUUAGUGGGUAAAACCAUGUUGGAAAACAUAGUUAAAGAUGAUUUCAUGGUAGUUAACCACAGUUAAAACUAAUUCCUCUUAAAAUCAUGUGAGCUGAAUGCAAUUCAAAAUGUGAUGUAUUAAAAGAUGAUUAAUUCGUUUCAUAGUUAAAAUCAUGAGUUCAACUCAAAUUCCACACUGCCAUAUUGCAUGUGAUUUCUGUAUUU